CUUGGUGUAUGAUUUGAGAGUUUCGCAUGCAUUUGUGUACAAAAGCAUUUUGUAAUGGUUUGCGUUACCAAAAAAAAAAAUUUCCAUCAGUCGUAUUUUGACCCAUAAGUGAUAGGUUUACAAUGACAUGCUUUCCUCCCAAACUUAUAUUGUACUAUCGUCAGGUUAAAAAUAUAAAUGACAUCUUAAUUUGUGAUUCAUAUAGGUGUUGGACAAAAAGUCUUUGAGCUCAAACGAUGUCUGAACGUCAUGGAUGCGAUCCGUGUUUCCUCUUCCAUCACAUGCAUGUCUUUAUGCUCGAAACAACGAUGAUCGAAUGUGGGAAGAGCGCACUUAAUGGUGAGGAGAAAUUGCACCUGUACUCGUUCAGUUGCUUCAGAAUAGAUUAAGUACCAUUUAUUAUGCGACCUGAAAGGUUCAGAAGAAAAAUUCCAGGAAUGUGUAUGGCAUGUUUUUGCAAAAUCAGCUUGUAGCUAACGUGCUCAAAAUGUGCUCAAAAAGAAGACCAGGUUAACGUUGAACAAAUCAUGAAAGGUUAUGAAAGAUUGUGUGAACCUUUUCAAGUGUGACAAAGUGCGUUUACAUUUUGGAAAAAAUGACAUCAUUUGGUUGGCUUUCCAUCCAACAUGAGAUUGCAUUGCCAAAAGUAGUCUUCGGAUUAGAAU